rnacentral:misc_RNA from 1 species
AGCCACCCCGAGCGAAGACAGGAUGGCAAAACCUGAUGCUGCCCAUUAGUACCAUUCCCAAGUUCUUGAAAGCUAUUUCCCAUGGCAACCAAUCACUCACCACAAUCUCCAUGCAAGUAUAAAUUGCAAAUAAGCGAAAGUCUUCAUUGUAUCUUAACAGUAAUUAGUUUUUGACUUCAACGGGUUAUCACUCAGCAAGACCAAUAUUCAAUGUAC